AAAGGUAAUUGCAGUUUUUCCC
rnacentral:miRNA from 1 species